rnacentral:lncRNA from 1 species
CUCCGUGGGCUGCUUUACAACCAAAUGGGCCGACCUUUUUUUCCAAAAAGAGUUAGAACUAUUGAUACCCUCCAACCACCGCUUACCCACUAAAUAAUUGAAAUAAAUAGUACUUUUUUUUCAACCACCUUAAUUUCUUAAAUAAAUUUGAUGUUGUCUUCUUCCAAAAUAAAAUCCCUCAUUUUCUUGCAUCAGCACGCAGUAGCAAGAAUGCAAGAAUGUCCUUUCAUCUUGAUGUAUUUUAUUAACUAACUCAUUAAAGUUCUUUGUCCCACAUCGAGUGAUCAAAAGAAACAAAUAUGCCUGGUCUGGGUUUAAAAGCAGAGCUGCAACACGAAGCUAGGCAUACCUUUCUCGGCCUUUUGGCUAAGAUCAAGUGUAGUAUCUGUUCUUAUCAGUUUAAUAUCUGAUAUGUGGAUCAUCGAUCCACACGAUAUUAAAUUAAUUUUUUAAGGGGAGGGCUCAUUGCGGUAGCUUGCUACUGCGAGCCCUGAGCGUCGCCCAUGCGUUGCACUACAGCACGAGCCUGGCGCACCCCGCACCAACUCUUAUGUUUCAAAUUUAGGACAGGACAACGAAAUUCAGAAUUUGGAUGAUGGAUUUUGAGUUCAAACAAUGUAGAAAAACUGACGUUUAAUCCGUAACCAUGACUGCCGAGAUCGUGUUUACUUUCAGGAUGGAAAUCACUGACUGUCAGUCUCCACCAAAGAUUCUUUCAGAAUAAGAAACAGUUUAAUCUACUUUACGGAUGACGAUUCUGGGGAAUCAAUUUACAACAAUCCCUCUUUUGGUGGUCAUGAUAAGGGUUGUCUCCCGGGGCACCAAUAUUUUGAUGAUCAUCAUCAUAGAUUGAAGAUUGAACCACUUCCCUUCUGGGUCGUUCCUAAUCCGUGGUAGCUAGACUUCUGAGUUUUGCAUUCAGCGUUGAGCUGGAACUUUGUGUUCAACCGUACGAUAAUCUUUGUGCGACUUCAAACACAAUUAGUGAUCAAAUGAACACAAUUGGUUUCAUAACACCUUUCAAAUAAAAAGCGAUUGAUGUGUUAUUUUUUGGGUCACUUGAGUAGAGUUCUUGCGAAGAAUUAUUUUUAACUAAAUGAGGAAAAGACAAUCUCUAGAUGCGUCAAUCGUAUACAAUAUACACACUUUUUAGCUUAUAAUAAAGAAAUUGUGCAUAGAGUUUUAAGGCGUGAAACCUUUGACUACUUAGUCUUAAUGGCUGCAUAAUUGACUAAGCACAUUAUAUACCCCGUCCAUUUUUUU